UACGGGGGGGGCUAGCGUUGUUCGGAAUUACUGGGCGUAAAGGGCCCGUAGGCGGCCAACUCAGUCGGAUGUGAAAUCCCCAGGCUCAACUUGGGAACUGCAUCCGAUACUGGAUGGCUUGAAUCCGGGAGAGGGAUGCAGAAUUCCAGGUGUAGCGGUGAAAUGCGUAGAUAUCUGGAGGAACACCGGUGGCGAAGGCGGCGUCCUGGACCAACACUGACACUGAAAAGCGAAAGCCAGGGGAGCAAACGGG
rnacentral:rRNA from 1 species